rnacentral:lncRNA from 1 species
AGAGCCCACUGGUGGAGACGCUUGGGUGUAGGAGGGCUGGAUCUCUCCAGUCAACUGCGGAAGCGGGGACUGUCUUGGGAUUGGCGCCUGGGAGUGCCCUGGAAUGGAGACACCGCCGUGGGAUCUGGCGCUCACCAAGACCCUAAUGGGAAGAAACACUGGGGAGCCCGCGACGCUUCCUUCUCCUUGCCUCCCCCUCGCCAGUGAGAAAGCAAAGUUGGGGAGGGUGAAGCAGGAGGCCAGAAGCCCCUCGCUCGCUCUCCCACCCGCCCCACCACUGCGGCCCGCGUGGCACCAGGCUAGAGACGGGCUCCCGGGCAUUAUUCAAAAGCAAGGCGGCCUUUUGUCCUGGGCACCCGAGGACUUGGUGAGAAGCCAGCUGGGCGGCCUGGGAUCCUCUGGCCCUUUGCUGGGCUGGAAGCUCCAGACAAUCGUGGGUUGUCCAUAGGGAGAUGGCUAGUGGUGCCCGUGGGUCUAAGCUUGAGAAUUGUGACUCGGCUUGCUUUCCCCGGUCCCUGCCCGCUCUCCGACUCCAUUGCAGGCAGAUUUAGGACCGGUCUGAGAUCUAACCCUCUCCCGGUGCUUCUCCCACCCGCUCCCUGGAGGUUCUACUAAGAAAGAUGAAGGAACAAUCCUAGUCAACCAAGCAGAUCCCUUGGAAUCUAGUUCCUCCUACCCUCCAACUCCACCGUACUGAUCUAACAAGGUUUAAUGGGGAAGGGGAAAUCUGUUAUUUGCCUAAAUGCUUCAUUUUUGUCGCGCGGGCGCUUGUGGCUUUGUAACACCAU